AGAGUUUGAUCAUGGCUCAGGACGAACGCUGGCUGCGUGCUUAACACAUGCAAGUCGAACGCUGAAGCCUGGUGCUUGCACCGGGUGGAUGAGUGGCGAACGGGUGAGUAACACGUGAGUAACCUGCCCCUGACUUCGGGAUAAGCCCGGGAAACUGGGUCUAAUACCGGAUACGACUGCCGGACGCAUGUCUGGUGGUGGAAAGUUUUUUCGGUUGGGGAUGGGCUCGCGGCCUAUCAGUUUGUUGGUGAGGUAAUGGCUCACCAAGACGACGACGGGUAGCCGGCCUGAGAGGGCGACCGGCCACACUGGGACUGAGACACGGCCCAGACUCCUACGGGAGGCAGCAGUGGGGAAUAUUGCACAAUGGGGGAAACCCUGAUGCAGCGACGCAGCGUGCGGGAUGACGGCCUUCGGGUUGUAAACCGCUUUCAGCAGGGAAGAAGCGAAAGUGACGGUACCUGCAGAAGAAGUACCGGCUAACUACGUGCCAGCAGCCGCGGUAAUACGUAGGGUACGAGCGUUGUCCGGAAUUAUUGGGCGUAAAGAGCUCGUAGGUGGUUGGUCACGUCUGCUGUGGAAACGCAACGCUUAACGUUGCGCGUGCAGUGGGUACGGGCUGACUAGAGUGCAGUAGGGGAGUCUGGAAUUCCUGGUGUAGCGGUGAAAUGCGCAGAUAUCAGGAGGAACACCGGUGGCGAAGGCGGGACUCUGGGCUGUAACUGACACUGAGGAGCGAAAGCAUGGGGAGCGAACAGGAUUAGAUACCCUGGUAGUCCAUGCCGUAAACGUUGGGCACUAGGUGUGGGGGGCAUUCCACGUUCUCCGCGCCGUAGCUAACGCAUUAAGUGCCCCGCCUGGGGAGUAUGGUCGCAAGGCUAAAACUCAAAGGAAUUGACGGGGGCCCGCACAAGCGGCGGAGCAUGCGGAUUAAUUCGAUGCAACGCGAAGAACCUUACCAAGGCUUGACAUACACCGGACCGUCCUGGAAACAGAUCCUCUUCUUUGAAGCUGGUGUACAGGUGGUGCAUGGUUGUCGUCAGCUCGUGUCGUGAGAUGUUGGGUUAAGUCCCGCAACGAGCGCAACCCUCGUUCUAUGUUGCCAGCACGUGAUGGCGGGAACUCAUAGGAGACUGCCGGGGUCAACUCGGAGGAAGGUGGGGAUGACGUCAAAUCAUCAUGCCCUUUAUGUCUUGGGCUUCACGCAUGCUACAAUGGCUGGUACAGAGAGAGGCGAACCCGUGAGGGCAAGCGAAUCCCUUAAAGCCAGUCUCAGUUCGGAUCGUAGUCUGCAAUUCGACUACGUGAAGUCGGAGUCGCUAGUAAUCGCAGAUCAGCAACGCUGCGGUGAAUACGUUCCCGGGCCUUGUACACACCGCCCGUCAAGUCACGAAAGUCGGUAACACCCGAAGCCGGUGGCCUAACCGUAAGGAGGGGGCCGUCUAAGGUGGGACUGGUGAUUGGGACUAAGUCGUAACAAGGUAACCGUA
rnacentral:rRNA from 1 species